GAUCCUGCUCAGGACGAACGCUGGCGGCAUGCCUAACACAUGCAAGUCGAACGGAGAUUACUUCGGUAAUCUUAGUGGCGAACGGGUGAGUAACGCGUGGGCAACCUGCCCUCUAGAUGGGGACAACAUCCCGAAAGGGGUGCUAAUACCGAAUGUGACAGCAAUCUCGCAUGAGGAUGCUGUGAAAGAUGGCCUCUAUUUAUAAGCUAUCGCUAGAGGAUGGG
rnacentral:rRNA from 1 species